GUGAUGACGAGGCACUACGGUGCUGAAGCAACAAAUGCCCUGCUUCCAGGAAAAGCCUCUAAGCAUCAGGUAACAUCAAAUCGUACCCCAAACCGACACAGGUGGUCAGGUAGAGAAUACCAAGGCGCUUGAGAGAACUCGGGUGAAGGAACUAGGCAAAAUGGUGCCGUAACUUCGGGAGAAGGCACGCUGAUACGUAGGUGAAGUCCCUCGCGGAUGGAGCUGAAAUCAGUCGAAGAUACCAGCUGGCUGCAACUGUUUAUUAAAAACACAGCACUGUGCAAACACGAAAGUGGACGUAUACGGUGUGACGCCUGCCCGGUGCCGGAAGGUUAAUUGAUGGGGUCAGCGCAAGCGAAGCUCUUGAUCGAAGCCCCGGUAAACGGCGGCCGUAACUAUAACGGUCCUAAGGUAGCGAAAUUCCUUGUCGGGUAAGUUCCGACCUGCACGAAUGGCGUAAUGAUGGCCAGGCUGUCUCCACCCGAGACUCAGUGAAAUUGAACUCGCUGUGAAGAUGCAGUGUACCCGCGGCAAGACGGAAAGACCCCGUGAACCUUUACUAUAGCUUGACACUGAACAUUGAGCCUUGAUGUGUAGGAUAGGUGGGAGGCUUUGAAGUGUGGACGCCAGUCUGCAUGGAGCCGACCUUGAAAUACCACCCUUUAAUGUUUGAUGUUCUAACGUGGACCCGUAAUCCGGGUUGCGGACAGUGUCUGGUGGGUAGUUUGACUGGGGCGGUCUCCUCCUAAAGAGUAACGGAGGAGCACGAAGGUUGGCUAAUCCUGGUCGGACAUCAGGAGGUUAGUGCAAUGGCAUAAGCCAGCUUGACUGCGAGCGUGACGGCGCGAGCAGGUGCGAAAGCAGGUCAUAGUGAUCCGGUGGUUCUGAAUGGAAGGGCCAUCGCUCAACGGAUAAAAGGUACUCCGGGGAUAACAGGCUGAUACCGCCCAAGAGUUCAUAUCGACGGCGGUGUUUGGCACCUCGAUGUCGGCUCAUCACAUCCUGGGGCUGAAGUAGGUCCCAAGGGUAUGGCUGUUCGCCAUUUAAAGUGGUACGCGAGCUGGGUUUAGAACGUCGUGAGACAGUUCGGUCCCUAUCUGCCGUGGGCGCUGGAGAACUGAGGGGGGCUGCUCCUAGUACGAGAGGACCGGAGUGGACGCAUCACUGGUGUUCGGGUUGUCAUGCCAAUGGCACUGCCCGGUAGCUAAAUGCGGAAGAGAUAAGUGCUGAAAGCAUCUAAGCACGAAACUUGCCCCGAGAUGAGUUCUCCCUGACUCCUUGAGAGUCCUGAAGGAACGUUGAAGACGACGACGUUGAUAGGCCGGGUGUGUAAGCGCAGCGAUGCGUUGAGCUAACCGGUACUAAUGAACCGUGAGG
rnacentral:rRNA from 1 species